ACCCAGACUCCUACGGGAGGCAGCAGUGGGGGAUAUUGCACAAUGGGGGGAACCCUGAUGCAGCGACGCCGCGUGGGUGAAGAAGCGCCUCGGCGCGUAAAGCCCUUUCAGCAGGGAAGAAAAUGACGGUACCUGACUAAGAAGCCCCGGCUAACUACGUGCCAGCAGCCGCGGUAAUACGUAGGGGGCAAGCGUUAUCCGGAUUUACUGGGUGUAAAGGGAGCGUAGACGGCGACGCAAGUCUGGAGUGAAAGCCCGGGGCCCAACCCCGGGACUGCUCUGGAAACUGCGUCGCUGGAGUACGGGAGGGGCAGGCGGAAUUCCUGGUGUAGCGGUGAAAUGUGUAGAUAUCAGGAGGAACACCGGCGGCGAAGGCGGCUUGCUGGACGAUGACUGACGUUGAGGCUCGAAAGCGUGGGGAGCGAACAGGAUUAGAUACCCCUGUAAAC
rnacentral:rRNA from 1 species